GACGAACGCUGGCGGCGUGCUUAACACAUGCAAGUCGAACGGAAAGGCCCUGCUUUUGUGGGGUGCUCGAGUGGCGAACGGGUGAGUAACACGUGAGUAACCUGCCCUUGACUUUGGGAUAACUUCAGGAAACUGGGGCUAAUACCGGAUAGGAGCUCCUGCUGCAUGGUGGGGGUUGGAAAGUUUCGGCGGUUGGGGAUGGACUCGCGGCUUAUCAGCUUGUUGGUGGGGUAGUGGCUUACCAAGGCUUUGACGGGUAGCCGGCCUGAGAGGGUGACCGGCCACAUUGGGACUGAGAUACGGCCCAGACUCCUACGGGAGGCAGCAGUGAGGAAUAUUGCACAAUGGGCGGAAGCCUGAUGCAGCAACGCCGCGUGCGGGAUGACGGCCUUCGGGUUGUAAACCGCUUUCGCCUGUGACGAAGCGUGAGUGACGGUAAUGGGUAAAGAAGCACCGGCUAACUACGUGCCAGCAGCCGCGGUGAUACGUAGGGUGCGAGCGUUGUCCGGAUUUAUUGGGCGUAAAGGGCUCGUAGGUGGUUGAUCGCGUCGGAAGUGUAAUCUUGGGGCUUAACCCUGAGCGUGCUUUCGAUACGGGUUGACUUGAGGAAGGUAGGGGAGAAUGGAAUUCCUGGUGGAGCGGUGGAAUGCGCAGAUAUCAGGAGGAACACCAGUGGCGAAGGCGGUUCUCUGGGCCUUUCCUGACGCUGAGGAGCGAAAGCGUGGGGAGCGAACAGGCUUAGAUACCCUGGUAGUCCACGCUGUAAACGGUGGGUACUAGGUGUGGGGUCCAUUCCACGGGUUCCGUGCCGUAGCUAACGCUUUAAGUACCCCGCCUGGGGAGUACGGCCGCAAGGCUAAAACUCAAAGGAAUUGACGGGGCCCCGCACAAGCGGCGGAGCAUGCGGAUUAAUUCGAUGCAACGCGUAGAACCUUACCUGGGUUUGACAUGGAUCGGGAGCGCUCAGAGAUGGGUGUGCCUCUUUUGGGGUCGGUUCACAGGUGGUGCAUGGCUGUCGUCAGCUCGUGUCGUGAGAUGUUGGGUUAAGUCCCGCAACGAGCGCAACCCUUGUUCACUGUUGCCAGCACGUUAUGGUGGGGACUCAGUGGAGACCGCCGGGGUCAACUCGGAGGAAGGUGGGGAUGACGUCAAGUCAUCAUGCCCCUUAUGUCCAGGGCUUCACGCAUGCUACAAUGGCUGGUACAGAGAGUGGCGAGCCUGUGAGGGUGAGCGAAUCUCGGAAAGCCGGUCUCAGUUCGGAUUGGGGUCUGCAACUCGACCUCAUGAAGUCGGAGUCGCUAGUAAUCGCAGAUCAGCAACGCUGCGGUGAAUACGUUCCCGGG
rnacentral:rRNA from 1 species